CCUACGGGUGACAGCAGUGAGGAAUAUUGGUCAAUGGACGAGAGUCUGAACCAGCCAAGUAGCGUGAAGGAUGAAUGCACUAUGGGUUGUAAACUUCUUUUAUAAAGGAAUAAAACGAGGCACGUGUGCCUUUUUGCAUGUACUUUAUGAAUAAGGAUCGGCUAACUCCGUGCCAGCAGCCGCGGUAAUACGGAGGAUCCGAGCGUUAUCCGGAUUUAUUGGGUUUAAAGGGAGCGUAGAUGGGUUGUUAAGUCAGAUGUGAAAGGUUGCGGCUCAACCGUAAAAUUGCAAUUGAUACUGGCAGUCUUGAGUACAGUUGAGGUAGGCGGAAUUCGCGGUGUAGCGGUGAAAUGCUUAGAUAUCACGAAGAACCCCGAUUGCGAAGGCAGCUUACUAAACUGUGACUGACAUUGAUGCUCGAAAGUGUGGGUAUCAAACAGGAUUAGAUACCCGUGUAGUC
rnacentral:rRNA from 1 species